AUACGAACCGGACGAACGUUAUUCGGAAUUAUUGGGCUUAAAGGGUGCGUAGGCGGCCGCAUAAGUCGGGUGUGAAAUCCCUCGGCUCAACCGAGGAAUUGCGCCCGAUACUGUGUGGCUCGAGGGAGACAGAGGCGAGCGGAACUGAUGGUGGAGCGGUGAAAUGCGUUGAUAUCAUCAGGAACACCGGUGGCGAAGGCGGCUCGCUGGGUCUCUUCUGACGCUCAUGCACGAAAGCUAGGGUAGCAAACAGGAUUAGAUACCCUGGUAGUCCUAGCUGUAAACGAUGAGCACUUGGUCGGGGACCUUCCCAUGGGUUCCCGGCCGUAGCGAAAGUGUUAAGUGCUCCGCCUGGGGAGUAUGGUCGCAAGGCUGAA
rnacentral:rRNA from 1 species